rnacentral:lncRNA from 1 species
UUUUUUUUUUUUUAAAGAUUUUUUACUCAUGAGAGACACAGAGAGACAAAGAGAGAGAGGCAGAGACACAGGCAGAGGGAGAAGCAGGCUCUACACACUGAGCCCAUCUCGGGACUCCAGGAUCAUGCCCUGGGCCAAAGGCAGGCACUAAACCACUGAGCCAUCCAGGCAUCCUCAUUUUUCUAUAUGGUAUAAGAAAGUAAUCCAGUUUCAUCCUUUUACAUGUAAAAGUUGUCCAGUUUUCCCAACACCAUUUGUUGAAGAGACUUUUUUCUCAUUUCAUAGUCUUGCUUCCUUUGGAGAAUAUUAAUUGAUCAUAUAACCAUGGAUUUAUUUCUGGGGUCUCUAUCCUGUCACAUUGAUCUUUCUGGGCGCUCUAGUCCAUUACAUUGAUCUAUGUGUUUGUUUUUGUGGUAGUACCAUACUGUUUUGAUUACUACCGAUUCAUAGUAUAUCUUGAAAUCUGGGAUUGUGAUACCACCAGUUUGUCUAUUUGAAGUAUUUUGUGGCUCCAUACAAGUUUUCAGACUGUUUGUUCCAGAUCGUUGAAAAGUGCUGUUGGUAUUUUGAUAGGAAUUGCAUUAAAUGUGAAAAUUGCUUUGGGUAGAAUGGACAUUUUUACAAUAUUUGUUCUUUCAAUCCUUGAGUAUGGAAUGCCUUUCCAUUUGUUUGUGUCACCUUCAAUUUCUUUCAUCAUGUCUUAUAGUUUUCAGAGUACAGGUCUUUCACUUCCUUGGUUAUGUUUAUUCCUAGGUAUUUUAUCAUUUUUGAUGUAAUUGUAAUGGGAUUGUUUUUGUUAAUCUCUCUGCUACUUUAUCAGUAAUAUAUAGAAAUGUAAUGGAUUUCUGUAUAUCGAUUUUGUAACCUGCAACCUCACUGAAUUCAUUUAUCAGUUCUAGUAGAUUUUGGUGGGGUAUUUAGGGUAUUAUAUAUAUAGUUUCACGUCAUCUGCAAAUAGUGAAAGUUUUACUUCUUCCUUACCAACUUGGAUGCCUUUUACUUCUUCUUGUCUGAUUGCUAUGGCUAGGACCUCCAGUACUAUGAGGACUAGAAGUGGUGAGAGUGGACAUAUUUGUCUUUUUUCUUAUCUUAGUGGAAAAACUCUCAGUUUUUCACCAUGAAGUAUGAUUGAUGUUAGCUCUGGUUGUUUCACAUAAGGCCUUUAUUAUCUUGAGGUAUGUUCCCUCCAAACCUACUUUGUUGAGGUUUUUUCAUUACAAAUGGAUGUUGUACUUUGUCAAAUACUUUUUCUGCAUCCAUUGAAAUAAUCAUAUGGUUUUCUCCUUUCUCUUGUUGAUGCAAUGAUUGAUUUGAACAUUGAACCACCUGUGUAUCCCAGGAAUAAAUCCUACUUGAUCACGGUGAAUAAUUUAAUUUUUAAAUGUGUUGUUGGAUUCAGUUUGCUAAUAUUUUGUUGAGGAUUUCUGCAUCUAAGUAUCUGGCCCCAUAGAACACAUUUGGAAGCUUUCUUUCCUCUUCUAUUUUGUGGAAAAGUUUGAAAAGAAUAGGUAUUAACUCUUCUUUAUAGGUUUGGUGGAAUUCACUUGUGAAACUGUCUGGUCUUGGACUUUUGUUUGUUGGGAUUUUUUUGAUUACUGAUUCAAUUUCUUUGUUGGUAAUAGGUCUGUUCAAAUUUUAUAUUUCUUCUGGAUGCACUUUUGGGAAGUUAUAUGAAUUUUAGGAUUUUUUUUCUAAUUUUGUGAAAAAUGCCAUUGGAAUUUUGAUAGCAAUUAUAUUGAAUCUACAGAUGACCUUGGGUAGUAGGACAUUUUAACAGUAAUAUUUCUCUGACCAUGAACAUGGGGUAUCUUUCAUUUAUUUGUGUCUUCUUCAAUUUCUUCACCAACAUCUUAUAGUUUUUUGUUGUACAGAUCUUUCACCUCCUUGUUUAAAUUUAUUCCUAAAUAUUUUAUUGUUUUUUAAUGCUAUUGUAAUUGGGAUUGUUUUCUUAUUUUCGUUUUCAGAUAAUUUGUUAUCUGUAGCUUUUGUUUCCUGUAGCUUUAUUGAAUUUGCUUAUUAGUUCCAACAUUGUCUUGGUGAAGUCUUUAGGAUUUUCUCUAUAUAAGAUCAUAUCAUCUGCAAACAGACUAUUUAACCUCUUCCUUUCCAGUUUGCAUGCCUUUAUUUCUCUUCCUUGCCAAUUGCUAUAAGACUCCAGUACCAUGUUAAACAGGAGUGGUGAGGGUGGGCAUUCUUGUCUUUUCCUCACCUUAAACUAAAAGUUUAAGGUUCAGCUUUUCACUGUUUAGUUUGUUAGCUGUGGGCUUGUCAUAUAUGACCUCUGUUAUGUUGAGGCACAUUCCUUCUACACCUGAUUUACUGAGUUUGUAUCAUUAAAGGAUAAUUUACUUUUGUCAAGUGCCUUUUCUGUAUCUAUUCAGAUUAUUAUACGGUUUUUAGUCCUCCAUUUUGUUAAUGUGGUGCUUAUUGAUUUGUGUAUAUUGAAUCACCCUUGCAUCCCAAGGAUAAAUCUCACUUGAUUAUGGUGAUGAUCCUUCUAAUGUGCUGUUGAAUAUGGCUUGCUAGUGUCUGUUGAGAGUUUUUGCAUAUACGUUCAUCAAGGAUAUUCACCUGUAAUUUUCUUUUCUUUUAUAUUGACCCCAUCUUGCUUUGGUAUGAGUUUAAUGUCAUUUUAUUAGGCAAAUAAAAUGAGCUUGGAAGUGUUUUCUUAUCAUUUUAAAAUAAGAAUUCCCAGCUCUCUUUGGUUCCAAAUCUAGUGCCCUUAGCAACUGAUUAACACAGUUCUCUCCACUGAUAAUAAAAAAGAAGGUAUCCUUUACUGAGUGUAUAUGAUGUAUUCCAGGCAUUCUGCAAAAUUCUUCAUGUAGAUUAUCUCAAUGAAUUACACAAACAGCUUUGGGAGGUAAGUAUCAUUACUGUCUAAAUUUUGCUAUGUAGGACACUGACGGUCAAAGAGGCUAAUUGGCCAAGGGUAUGCAUCUGGUAAAGGGCUGAGGCAAGAUAUUAGCCCAGGUUAAUCUGACUCCAUACCUCUGUUCUAUUUACACAGUGGAUACAAUAUUGGCUUACAGCUUCUCAAUUUCAAUAGGACUUUUCAGUCCAUGCACCCUCUAUCUUUUCCUUAGCAAUCAUAUAAUGUUUUCUUAUCUUGCUGAGACUUUGGACAAAGUAAAUUGGUCUUAUUAUGAUGAUAGUUCCCUAAGAUUACUGCUCUUUUUUGCCAUUCAAAUGGCGGUAUAUCAUAAACUCAAAUAUUGAUCGGCAGAAUGGUGGUUACUAGGGAAUAAGGAAGGGAUAAUAGAGGAGUUGUUCAGUGUAUAAAGUUACAAUUAUACAAGAUGAGUAAAUUCCAGAGAUUUGCUGUGCAACACAAGGCCUACACUUAACAAUAAGGAAUUAGGUGCUUAAAAUUUGUUAAGAAGGUAUGUCAUGUUGUAUUCUUGCAAAAAAAAAAAAAAAAAAAACCCAAACAAACCCAAACGAAAUCAAAUAAAAAACAGAGGGAUACAAGGAAACUUUUAAAAGUGAUGGAUAUGUUUACUAUCUUGGCUUUAGUGAUGAUAUAACAAAUAUAUACGUAUGUUCAAACUUACCAAAUGACAUACAUGAAUUAUAUGCAGUUUUUUGUAGGCCAAUUGUACCUCAAUAAAGCAGGAAAAAUAUUGGUUGGCUACAUAGUUUAAAAAUUCAACAAAUGUAUUGAAUGUGUAUAUGUACAGGAUCAUAUGCUAGCUGCUAAGGGAAACAAAAAAUGAAUGAGACAAGGAAGCUUCUUUCAAGGUGUUUAUAAGUGAGUCUUACCCCACAAACUAGCUCCCACCCCUGCCAUGGACUAGAACAUAAGGUUGAGGGACAGAGGUCAGAAAAAGGGGUCAUUAAUCUUCUAUGAAAACAUCUUCAAGAGAUACCCCAGGAAUGAGAAGGCAUUUGAUCUGGGCCUUGAAAAACGGGAAAGAUUGGACAUGUAGAGAUACUGAGUGUGAAGGUGCUGUGAACAGGUGACAAUGCGAACACCAACAUGAAGAUUGGAAAUCUUAGAGAGUACUAAGGGAGUCAUGUUUGGCUCAAGAAAGGGCAAGUAGUAAGAGAUGUGGCUAGAACAGCAGUUUCUAAUAAGACCACAGAGUCCAUAAGUUAAUAAGGGGAACUAUUAGAGAUAUAGUUUGGAGGCAUAGAGAGAGUACAUACAGAUAGUCAACAAAUCCUGAUAGCUUAAACUCUGUCAGAGCCAGCUAGGAUGGAAAAUGGAAAUAAAAAUUAAAAGCAUUUAAUGGAUGGCUGGCUUAGAACAUGUGACUCUUGAUUUCGAGGUCAUGAGUUCGAAAUCCAUGUUGGGCAUAGAGAUUACUUAAAAUAAAUACAUAAAUAAAUAAAAAUAUUUUUAAAAACCCAUAUUUAAUGUAUAGAAUGUGUGGCAUUUAGCAAAGACACUUUUGAAGCGAAAGAGGAGGUUAAAGAUGGUUCAAAUUUUGAAUUUGAGUUUGGAAGGUAUACAAGGAAAAUACUGUAGGAGGAAUGGGGGUCAAAGGCAAGAAAUUCUGGGGACAGGUCAUGAAAUAAUAUCCAGGAUCCAUUUUAAUAAUUAAGAGCACAAAAAGAUAUUCUGAGUCCUAAAACUGUGCAUAAAUGUGCAGGACAUAUGGUUUAUACAUGUGGGUCCAAAGUAUUGGAUGCAUAGAUCAUUAAAACACAAAUCGCAUGCAGCAUACCUUCCAUGUAUUUAAACUAACUGACUAGCUAUUAUAGACAUUCACUAAACGGCUGAUUAACACAAUUUGGCUGGCUUUUAGAAUUCAUUUCCUAAUCAUCUCAGCUUCUCUUCUCAACCUACUAUAAUCUGACUUCUGUUCCUGUCACUUAACCGAAAUUGCAGGGCAAAAGGUCAUCAGCGAUUUUCUCAUUGCAAAUACAAAGAGCACUUAAAUAUUAUUUUUACCAAAGUUCUAUUUAGUUAUAAAUGUCAAACAGUUCUAGAAAAUAUACUAAAAAAAAAAAA